rnacentral:sRNA from 1 species
CGGACAGGGGGGUUCCUGCUGAAUGGCAGGGCCUGUUCGAAGAGGUUGCGCGAACGCGUGGCCAGUGGUUGUCGCUCGGGGGUGAUCGCCG